rnacentral:rRNA from 1 species
GUGGGGAAUAUUGGACAAUGGGCGAAAGCCUGAUCCAGCCAUGCCGCGUGUGUGAAGAAGGUCUUCGGAUUGUAAAGCACUUUAAGUUGGGAGGAAGGGUAGUAACCUAAUACGUUGCUACUUUGACGUUAGCGACAGAAUAAGCACCGGCUAACUUCGUGCCAGCAGCCGCGGUAAUACGAAGGGUGCAAGCGUUAAUCGGAAUUACUGGGCGUAAAGCGCGCGUAGGUGGUUUUGUAAGUUGGAGGUGAAAUCCCCGGGCUCAACCUGGGAACUGGCUCCAAAACUGCAUGACUAGAGUACGGUAGAGGGUAGUGGAAUUUCCUGUGUAGCGGUGAAAUGCGUAGAUAUAGGAAGGAACACCAGUGGCGAAGGCGACUACCUGGACUGAUACUGACACUGAGGUGCGAAAGCGUGGGGAGCAAACAGGAUUAGAUACCCGUGUAGUCC